GGGGGGCAGCAGUAGGGAAUCUUCGGCAAUGGACGAAAGUCUGACCGAGCAACGCCGCGUGAGUGAAGAAGGUUUUCGGAUCGUAAAACUCUGUUGUUAGAGAAGAACAAGGACGUUAGUAACUGAACGUCCCCUGACGGUAUCUAACCAGAAAGCCACGGCUAACUACGUGCCAGCAGCCGCGGUAAUACGUAGGUGGCAAGCGUUGUCCGGAUUUAUUGGGCGUAAAGCGAGCGCAGGCGGUUUCUUAAGUCUGAUGUGAAAGCCCCCGGCUCAACCGGGGAGGGUCAUUGGAAACUGGGAGACUUGAGUGCAGAAGAGGAGAGUGGAAUUCCAUGUGUAGCGGUGAAAUGCGUAGAUAUAUGGAGGAACACCAGUGGCGAAGGCGGCUCUCUGGUCUGUAACUGACGCUGAGGCUCGAAAGCGUGGGGAGCAAACAGGAUUAGAUACCCUGGUAGUCCACGCCGUAAACGAUGAGUGCUAAGUGUUGGAGGGUUUCCGCCCUUCAGUGCUGCAGCAAACGCAUAAGCACUCCGCCUGGG
rnacentral:rRNA from 1 species